GAUGAACGCUGGCGGCGUGCCUAAUACAUGCAAGUCGAGCGAACAGACGAGGAGCUUGCUCCUCUGACGUUAGCGGCGGACGGGUGAGUAACACGUGGAUAACCUACCUAUAAGACUGGGAUAACUUCGGGAAACCGGAGCUAAUACCGGAUAACAUGUUGAACCGCAUGGUUCAACAGUGAAAGACGGUCUUGCUGUCACUUAUAGAUGGAUCCGCGCCGCAUUAGCUAGUUGGUAAGGUAACGGCUUACCAAGGCAACGAUGCGUAGCCGACCUGAGAGGGUGAUCGGCCACACUGGAACUGAGGCACGGUCCAGACUCCUACGGGAGGCAGCAGUAGGGAAUCUUCCGCAAUGGGCGAAAGCCUGACGGAGCAACGCCGCGUGAGUGAAGAAGGUCUUCGGAUCGUAAAACUCUGUUAUUAGGGAAGAACAAAUGUGUAAGUAACUAUGCACGUCUUGACGGUACCUAAUCAGAAAGCCACGGCUAACUACGUG
rnacentral:rRNA from 1 species